UUACCAUCGAACUUCCACCACUGACAUCGAGGCUCUCGCUACCGCCGAUCACCAUCAUGGCUCUCGCCACCGUCGCUCACCAUCGCGGCCCCCCUCCCAGCCACAUUCAGGUUAAGUAAUGGGGGAUUUAUUGUGAGAUCAGAGAGAAUGGAAGCUAAAAUGAUACAAUUAUACAAAUAGAGGGAUUGUUGAUUUUUGGUAGCUUAUGGAUUGUUUUGGUGACUGCAUUUUGCAUUUCUGUUUCCAAAAACUCGAUUAGAAAGGCCAUGAACAUAUCUGCAUAGAUUAUCAGAUUUGGUGCUGUUCUAUGUAUACAUUUUUCAUUUUUGUUCAACAACUUUCAAUUCCUUGAAUUUUUUUUUUCCCCUUUUCCCUUUUUCCAUUUCACACAGAGAAUAUCUGCAAAGGAUGCCCUUGAUGCUGAAUAUUUUUGGACUGACCCCUUACCUUGCGAUCCUAGAAGUUUGCCUAAACAUGAAUCAUCACACAAGUUCCAGACAAAGAAAAAAAGGCAGCAGCAGCGACAAAACGAAGAGAUGGCAAAGAGACAGAAAUUGCAGCACCCGCAACAACAUGCUCGUCUAAUUGCUUACUUUUGCAGGCAUGAUAAAGAAGGGAAUGCUGGAUUUGUAGUUUUUGAGUUUGUGGAUUAUGCUUUGCAUCCUUGUCCAGCUGUGUGGCUCAGGAACACAAGUUUUCUGAUGAGAGCAACAUCUUGAGAAUGGAAGUGGUUCAGAUUUGGACACUAAGGAUGUUGCAACCAUUGUUUUCUUAGGUAGCUAUCAUUUUAAUCUUUUGACAAAUGGCUUUACAGUGUAGGCCAAUCUGCAGAAGUUCACCUGGAUUUGGGAUAAAGGUUAAUUGAGAUCUGGGAUGGAAUCUCACCCACAACUUGAUUAUAAAUGUUCUAAGUUUGUCUCAUUGUGUUGAUUUAUGGAUUGACAGGAAAAAAAAAAAUUGUGGAUAAUUUGUUCUGUAUACAAAUUAUAUUUAUUUAGAUAUUGUUUGGAAUAA